UUAUUAUCUUUUUGACGUUGAC
rnacentral:snRNA from 1 species